UACCAGCACCCCGAGUGGUCGGGACGAUUAUUGGGCCUAAAGCAUCCGUAGCCGGUUUUACAAGUCCCCCGUUAAAUCCAGCUGCUUAACAGAUGGGCUGCGGAGGAUACUAUAGAGCUAGGAGGCGGGAGAGGCAAGCGGUACUUAGUGGGUAGGGGUAAAAUCCGUUGAUCCAUUGAAGACCACCAGUGGCGAAGGCGGCUUGCCAGAACGCACUCGACGGUGAGGGAUGAAAGCUGGGGGAGCAAACCGG
rnacentral:rRNA from 1 species